AUCAGAAUGACGAGUCCUAAAUAGAACGAAAUGCGCAUCCUGGAU
rnacentral:hammerhead_ribozyme from 1 species